GUCCUUAUGUGCGAGUGGCUAGCAAGCAGUCUGCAAAACUGUACACGUCGGUUCGAAUCCGACUAAGGGCUC
rnacentral:tRNA from 1 species